CCUGGCUAAUUUAAGAAAAUUUUUUUGUAGAGGUAGGGUUUCACAACAUUGUUCAAGCUGAUAAUUUAGAUUUAAAUGGCCACAUGUGGCUAGUGGCUCCCAUACUCCGUGGUGAGGUCUAUAAUGUUUCACAAGGGAGGCCUUGAACGGGUGGUGAACAGAUUUAUGCAAAACAACCCUCUAAACUGCAAUCCCAUUGGUAGGUCAGAGCCCAUUUUCUCACCCUUGCAGGCUUGAAGGGGCCCAAGGUUAUUUUCCUUGGAGAUGGCUCCUGGAAGCCUGGGUGGGUUUCCUCACUACCUCCCUACAAAAGCCCCUAGGUGGCUGAGGGGCCCAGAGGAACAGGGAUCUGGCUAGAAAGCACCUGUUCUUAACAAGGGUCCCCAGCAGCCAGGCAGCCCUCCCUCCACAGGGCACGGGGCUGUCGCUGCCUGAAUGAGGGAGAUUUAUGGAAAAUCCCCUCACACAACAGGCGGAUUUUCCAAGCCUCAUUGGUUGUUCUGGUCUGAGCCUUCAUUAAGGGGAACAGGGGACAAUGGAGGAGGUAGGGGUGAGGCCCUGGGUCCAUUCAGCUCUCUAUCCUUUGGCACUGGGAACUCCAUCAAGGCCCCCCCAACCCUUUCCUGGCUUGAGGAAAGGUCACACUCUCUCCCCUUUCAAUAGUAAUAAAAGGCCCCAAAUAUCCAGCAAAGUCAGACUCGGCCUUUGAGGAAUAUCUUUCUUGCAUUUUAAAAGAUUUCCAGAAGAGAUAUUCUUUGGUUUUGCUUUACAAUCCUCUGUGCCUUGUAAUGCACGGUCUUGGAAGUUCCUCCCUACAGCUAACCUAAUUUUAUUACGCUUUAGGCCUGCCUCAGUAGGACUUCUCCUUUAAAGUUACGGCAACAUUUCAAAGUAGCAAGAUCAAUUGUGUGACUUCCCAAUAAAAAUCCUUGAUUGGAAGGAGAAACCACUGGCUACUAGAGCUGGAGGGACCCUAGAGAUUUGCAGUCCGUUCCUCACUGCGCAUUCAGAGAGUGUACCGCCCAAGCAGGUGGUGCCACACUUAGAGCCAGAAUUCAUGCUCCAGGUGGUACCCACCUGUAUACCAGCUGCCUCUGCUGCAGCACAGUCACAUAGAGAUCCAGAGACCCAUUGAGACAACCCUUCCAGAGGAAAGAGCACUGCUUGACCCAGGGGAAUGGAUUUCUAAGAGUGAAUAUUAGGUCUCAUCCCAAAGGCUUUUUGUCUUAAAGCCCCUUCCAGAAAGUACUCAGUAUGUAGUAAGGAGAUCAGUGGGAGUGUCUUAGAGGUAAGACCGAGAGUGGCCCUUUGAAGGUGGCGAGGGAAGAGAAGGGUGAGGCAUUCCCAGGGUUGCAAAGACUCAGGAGGGCUAUGGCAGGGGCCUGGGGCGCUUCCCCUGUGUUGGGGAUGUGACUGAGGCUGGGCAUUGCUCACUGAGUAGAGUCGAUGAGUACAGCCAGUUCCCUAUAAUGGUGGGUGUCCAGGUCCUGGGAGGUGACUCGCCUUGUCGAGGGAAACUGGUGGGAGCAGGAGGUGUUUAUGGUUUUCCCUCUCCUGGGGGCAGCUGGAGUGAGCCAAGUUUACAGUUGCCCAGAACUCUAUAAACACACUUGGUGAGCAUGUGUGCGUAUGUGAGUGCCUGUGCGGGUGAGUGUCCCCUGACAUCUGACUGUCACCCCUGCUGGGCGGCCCUGACCUUCCUGACCUUGUGAGAAAGGAGAGAAGAUGCUAAGCUGAGUGACUUUGCUCUCUUGGGCCUGGUGACACCUACUGAAGGGGUCCGUAAGCCUGGGCUAUGUGGGACCCUGGGGGCCCUGUAGGCUUCCUUGGGAGGAAGGCCUUGAGGGGAUCCUGGAGAGUGGGGAGGAGGAAGGGCAUUCCAGGCCUGGGGAACUGCAGGAGCAAGGAGGUGUGUGUGUGUGUGUGUGUGUGAAAGAGAGAGAUCGGAGCAGGAAAGGGCGAGCCUUACAAGAAAGAGAAACUUUGGGGAAGCCUUUAGAUCUGACCUGAUAGUUCGUAGAGACAUAUUGAAACCCUGUCUGGCACACAGGCCCCACGUGCUUAUUAUCAUUAGUAAUUAUGACACGACACAGAGGUAUUCCCUGGUUUGGUGACUGGGUAGCCUGAGCCCUCCAUAUUCUGGCCAGUGCUGAACAUGGCUGGCAUUAGGGAUAGCUUGUGGUCUCAAUUAGGGGCCAGCAGUGGCCAGGGUUAGGGGUCAAGUGGUAGCCAGGGUAAAGCAAGCUUGUAGUCAAGAUAAAGGGUCAGCUGUGGUUAUGACUGGCUGUUGAUAAGUGGUUGGGGCUAGAGGUCAGAUACUGACAAUGAACAGUUUUCUAUGUAUGAUGCUAACUGCUCUGGAAGCAGCUCACCUUAUCUCGGAGGCAUAAUGAAGAGGCAGGAGCAUUUGUCUGAGAACUAAGAAGACUUGGGUGUUAGCCCUUGUUCUACUCACUUAUUCGCUGGAUCUGACAAAUGCCAAGGACUUUGCCUACGCUGGAUGUGUAGCCGAAGACUGUCCCAGGCUGCUCAGAGGGGCGGAAGCAAACUCGCUGCAUCUCCAGAAGCCCCUCAGAGGUCAGGUUUAAGAUUCUUCCUCCACCUCAGCUGAAAGGAUUCAUCUUGCAGCACGGCCCACCUUGGAACCCUUUGUGUUUGCUGAAACUUUCUUUGUGAUUAUUCUUAUGUCACUGCAUAGCAUGUAAAUGUAUCACACCCCCCCCCCACCCAUUAUUAUUAUCUCCUAGUAUGCACCAGGCACUGGCCAUAAAUUAUUUCUAAUCAUCAUUAAAACUCUACCACGGUUAUCCUCCCUCUAUGGAUAGGAAAACUAAGGCUUGGAGGUUGAAGAGGUCAUGGAUCUUGUCCAAGGUCACUAAACUCAUAAAUGUCACAGUCAAAAUUUGAAUCUAGAUAGAGUUGUCAGCUCCAAAGAAGUUUGCUCAGUCAGUUCUUCCCCAAAUUAGCUUUUUAUCCAAAUUUGCUGAGAAGCUUUUUAAAAAUACAUCUUCUUUACAACAAAGCCAGAGAAAGAAUAAGGCAGCUCUCUGCACAACAAUAUGGUGCUCGUAUAUGCCUAGAACAUCUCCAGGAAGAAGGUGAGUCACUGGCCACCGCUGGCCUCAGGGGAUGGUCUACGGGAGGGGACACAGGAGUGGGAGGGAGACUUGCUUUUUACUAUAUUCUCCAGUACUUAUUGGAUUCCUUCCUUUCCUUCCU
rnacentral:lncRNA from 1 species